GGUUUUGGGUUUUUGCAGCUCUGUAACAGUCUAAACCUAACAGUACAGACACGGGCUACCACACCCUGUUCUUACUGUCUCUCUGGAUUAACAUCCCUGGAUGCUGCCCUUGGUUUGGGUCUCCCUCAAUUGAGAAUGAUGAUUUCACAGACUAGAGUCUCUGACUCUGCCCUUGAUGUCAACUAUAAAUCUGACUCAUUUGGGGAACCUGAAUUCUUACUCCUCUUCCUUGAGAUGGAACCAUGUUCCAGCACUGGCUCUAUUGAGGUACAUGCCCUGUUCCUGCUUCUCAUCGAUUGUCUUAAUUAACUCUUCCAGGGCGAUGUCUGAAGGCCGCCCAGGGGCCCCAUCCCCUCACCUAGAUGUGGGCUAACCUAGGACCCAGACUAAGGUGGAGUUCCUACAAGUGACUAGAAUGUCAUGAUCAUCUCAUUGUCUAACAAGCCCUUUGUCCUCUGUGCUGGGAAGGCCUUAGCUGCUACUCAAAACUGACAAGUUGGACUCCUUUUUACUACUGCCUUGUUGCCAGCUAUCCGAGCGUGAAAGGCCGCAAAGCCGUGGGUGCUGGCUGUCCCACAUCACAGGCAUGGCAGGUGGCAGCCCAGACUGAACCAGAGCCUCACUUGAACAUGAGCAUUAGCCAAUGUAAUAAAAGCCUACCUUGCCUGAAGUGUAUCUGUUUUUCUGCUUACAAUGGCUUGCAAUGGAAGUGCAUGGUUUCCUGCUUCUAAUAAAAUCCUUUAAAAG
rnacentral:lncRNA from 14 species